rnacentral:lncRNA from 1 species
GACCUAUUAAAGCUCAGAGAAUAAAAAAUGUCUUGUACACAGAGUGAUUUAAAUGCAGAGUUAGACAAUGCAUCAAAAGGUUUCUUGAGGCACGCACAUUGGAUGUGAUUGUUAGAACUCUACCAGCCAUCUUGAACCAUAGCAUGAUCUUGAAAAUGGAAGCCCACAUACUAAAGAUGGUGGUGAGGAAGAUUAGAACCUGGCUGUCUGAAGAUACUGUAAAGUUGGCCUGGCAUGCCAGUCAUGAAAAGUUAAAAGCACAAAAAGUAUUCCUGUCCAUACGUGGAGAAAAUAUGGGAACUAUGAAUAUGUACACUUCUCAUCUUGUUUUGCCUCUCCCAAGACCAAUUCUGAAUGGAAGUAAAACAGAAACUGAAAGGUAUGCCAACCCUUAAAAUGUGAAGAGUCUUCUAG